CCGAGUGGCGGACGGGUGAGUAAUUUCUGGGAAACUGCCCGAUGGAGGGGGAUAACUACUGGAAACGGUAGCUAAUACCGCAUACCAUCGGAUGUGCCCAGAUGGGAUUAGCUAGUAGGUGGGGUAAUGGCUCACCUAGGCGACGAUCCCUAGCUGGUCUGAGAGGAUGACAAGCCACCCUGGAACUGAGACACGGUCCAGAGUCCUACGUGAGGCAGCAGUGUUGAAUAUUGCACAAUGGGCGCAAGCCUUAUGCAGCCAUGCCGCUUGUAUGAAGAAGGCUUUCGGGUUGUAAAGUACUUUCAGCGAGGAGGAGUUACUCGCAGAAGAAGCACCGGCUAACUCCGUGCCAGCAGCCGCGUUAAUAC
rnacentral:rRNA from 1 species